rnacentral:rRNA from 1 species
UACGUAGGGGGCUAGCGUUGUCCGGAAUCAUUGGGCGUAAAGAGCUCGUAGGCGGCUGUUCAAGUCGAACGUGAAAACUCGGAGCUCAACUCCGAGCCUGCGUUCGAUACUGGAUGGCUAGAGUCUGGUAGGGGGGAUCUGGAAUUCCUGGUGUAGCGGUGGAAUGCGCAGAUAUCCGGAGGAACACCAGCGGCGAAGGCGGCUUUCUGGUCCGAUUCU